rnacentral:rRNA from 1 species
UUCCGGUUGAUCCUGCCGGACCCUACUGCUAUCGGGGUGGGACUAAGACAUGCAAGUCGUGCGUCUCGAGCUAUGGUGAGACGCGGCGUACGGCUCAAUAUCACGUGGCUAACCUGCCCUUAGGACGGAGACAACCCCGGGAAACUGGGGCCUAUCCCCGAUAGGUGAGGACGCCUGGAAUGGUCUCUGCUGAAAGGACGCUAAGACCAUGCUUCUUAACGUUGCUCAAGGAUGGGGCCGCGUCCGAUCAGGUUGUUGGUGAGGUAACGGCUCACCAAGCCUAUAACCGGUACGGGCCGUGAGAGCGGGAGCCCGAAGAUGGGCACUGAGACAAGGGCCCAGGCCCUACGGGGCGCAGCAGUCGCGAAAACUCCGCAAUGCGCGAAAGCGUGACGGGGCUACCCCGAGUGCCGUCCGCUGAGGAUGGCUUUUCCCCGGUGUAAUGAGCCGGGGGAAUAAGGAGAGGGCAAGCCUGGUGUCAGCCGCCGCGGUAAAACCAGCUCUCCGAGUGGUAGGGACGAUUAUUGGGCUUAAAGCGUCCGUAGCCGGCUUGGCAAGUCUUCCGUUAAAUCCAGCGAUUCAAUCGUUGGACUGCGGGAGAUACUGUUGGGCUAGGGGGCGGGAGAAGCCGACGGUAUUCUCGGGGUAGGGGUAAAAUCCUAUAAUCCCUGGAAGACCACCAGUGGCGAAGGCGGUCGGCUAGAACGCGCCCGACGGUGAGGGACGAAAGCUGGGGGAGCGAACCGGAUUAGAUACCCGGGUAGUCCCAGCUGUAAACGAUGCGGGCUAGGUGUUGGGGCGGUUACGAACCGCUUCAGUGCCGCACGGAAGCAAUUAAGCCCGCCGCCUGGGGAGUACGGCCGCAAGGCUGAAACUUAAAGGAAUUGGCGGGGG